rnacentral:rRNA from 1 species
GACGAACGCUGGCGGCGUGCUUAACACAUGCAAGUCGAACGGAAAGGCCCUGCUUUUGUGGGGUGCUCGAGUGGCGAACGGGUGAGUAACACGUGAGUAACCUGCCCUUGACUUUGGGAUAACUUCAGGAAACUGGGGCUAAUACCGGAUAGGAGCUCCUGCUGCAUGGUGGGGGUUGGAAAGUUUCGGCGGUUGGGGAUGGACUCGCGGCUUAUCAGCUUGUUGGUGGGGUAGUGGCUUACCAAGGCUUUGACGGGUAGCCGGCCUGGGAGGGUGACCGGCGUCCUUGGGCCUGCGAUACGGCCCAGUCUCCUACGUGAGGCAGCAGUGGCGAGUAUUGCACAGUGGUCCCGAGUCUGAUGCAGCAGCGCCGCGUGCGUGAUGACGGCCUUCUGGUUGUGAACCGCUUUCGCCUGUGACGAAGCGUGAGUGACGGUACUGGGUAAAGAAGCACCGGCUAACUACGUG